CACAAGCGGAGGUACAUGUGUUUUAAUUUGAUGAUACGCGAGGAACCGUACCUGGGCUUAAAUGUAGAGUGCAUAAAGUGGAUACAUUUUUUUCCUUCGGGACUCUGUACAAGGUGCUGCAUGGUUGUCGUCAGCUCGUGCCGUGAGGUGUCGGGUUAAGUCCCAUAACGAGCGCAACCCCUAUCGUUAGUUACCAGCACGUAUUGGUGGGGACUCUAGCGAAACUGCCGGUGUAAACCGUGAGGAAGGUGGGGAUGACGUCAAAUCAGCACGGUCCUUAUGUCCAGGGCUACACACGUGUUACAAUGGUCGGUACAGUGGGCAGCCACAUAGCAAUAUGGAGCUAAUCUCAAAAGCCGAUCUCAGUUCGGAUUGGAGUCUGCAACCCGACUCCAUGAAGGUGGAUUCGCUAGUAAUCGCGCAUCAGCCAUGGCGCGGUGAUACGUUCCCGGGCCUUGUACACACCGCCCGUCAAGCCAUGGAAGUUUGGGGUGCCUGAAGUUCGUAACCGCAAGGAGCGACCUAGGGUAAACAAAUGACU
rnacentral:rRNA from 1 species